rnacentral:rRNA from 1 species
GAUGAACGCUGGCGGCGUGCCUAAUACAUGCAAGUCGAACGCAUAGCGAAAGGUGCUUGCACCUUUCAAGUGAGUGGCGAACGGGUGAGUAACACGUGGACAACCUGCCUCAAGGCUGGGGAUAACAUUUGGAAACAGAUGCUAAUACCGAAUAAAACUUAGUGUCGCAUGACACAAAGUUAAAAGGCGCUUCGGCGUCACCUAGAGAUGGAUCCGCGGUGCAUUAGUUAGUUGGUGGGGUAAAGGCCUACCAAGACAAUGAUGCAUAGCCGAGUUGAGAGACUGAUCGGCCACAUUGGGACUGAGACACGGCCCAAACUCCUACGGGAGGCUGCAGUAGGGAAUCUUCCACAAUGGGCGAAAGCCUGAUGGAGCAACGCCGCGUGUGUGAUGAAGGCUUUCGGGUCGUAAAGCACUGUUGUAUGGGAAGAACAGCUAGAAUAGGAAAUGAUCUUAGUUUGACGGUACCAUACCAGAAAGGGACGGCUAAAUACGU